CAGUAGCCACGGUAAUACAGAGGGUGCGAGCGUUAAUCGGAUUUACUGGGCGUAAAGCGUGCGUAGGCGGCUUCUUAAGUCGGAUGUGAAAUCCCUGAGCUUAACUUAGGAAUUGCAUUCGAUACUGGGAAGCUAGAGUAUGGUAGAGGAUGGUAGAAUUCCAGGUGUAGCGGUGAAAUGCGUAGAGAUCUGGAGGAAUACCGAUGGCGAAGGCAGCCAUCUGGCCUAAUACUGACGCUGAGGUACGAAAGCAUGGGGAGCAAACAGGAUUAGAUACCCCUGUAGUCCCUGUCUCUUAUAC
rnacentral:rRNA from 1 species